ensembl:lncRNA
CCCACCCACCCGCGUGCACGCACCAAACUGAAGUUAAUCAAACUACCUCACCUCAGUGGAGACUAGGCGUUAAAUAUCUCUGGCCCUGACUAGCGCUGACAACUAGCUAGCUAAUUCAAGACGCAGAAGUCACAGAUUCUAGACAUAAUGAACUUCUUUUAAACGUCCAUUAACUCCUGCGCCUGUUUUAGAAAACAUUAUUGGAAAAGUAGUGGUCGAACGGCAGCAGACAGAGAUGAGGAACACAGUGAUCCUGAAACAGACUGCAAAUCAGGAAGGGACAGAAAGGAGAGGUUAGUUUGUCAGACACCAAUAGCAGACUCCAAACACAAAGCCUAGAAUCAAGACUCAACACUGACAGCUUUAUUAUGCCUUUAUAAAUGAUGUGAU